CCCUUAGAUGUCCUGGGCCGCACGCGCGUUACACUGAUGCAUUCAACGAGCUUAUAACCUUGGCCGAGAGGCCUGGGCAAUCUUGUUAACGUGCAUCGUGAUAGGGAUAGAUUAUUGAAAUUAUUAAUCUUGAACGAGGAAUUCCUAGUAAACGCAGAUCAUCAAUCUGCAUUGAUUACGUCCCUGCCCUUUGUACACACCGCCCGUCGCACCUACCGAUUGGAUGGUCCGGUGAAGCCUCGGGCUUGUGGUUCUUGCCGCUUUAUUGUGGCGUGACCGCGAGAACUUGUCUAAACCUUAUCAUCUAGAGGAAGGUGAAGUCGUAACA
rnacentral:rRNA from 1 species